rnacentral:rRNA from 1 species
UACGUAGGGUCCGAGCGUUGUCCGGAUUUAUUGGGCGUAAAGAGCUCGUAGGCGGUUCCGUAAGUCAGAUGUGAAAACUCAGGGCUCAACCCGGAGACGCCAUCUGAUACUGCGGUGACUGGAGUCUGGUAGGGGAACACGGAAUUCCUGGUGUAGCGGUGAAAUGCGCGGAUAUCAGGAGGAACACCGGUGGCGAAGGCGGCAUCCUGGACCGACACUGACACUGAGGAGCGAAAGCCAGGGGAGCAAACGGG